GAUGUUCCUGCCCCAGGCAAAAAGCCCAGUUACCUCUGGCCACUGCAGUUUGGCUCAUCAUCAGGGAACCUUUGCCUCCUCCAAGACCAAGGCACAACUCCAGUAACAGUCAGAAAGAGGUUUCACGAGGCUACAGGCACCUCCAGUUUAUCCAGGUCUUCUCACGGGAGCCGGUAGCCAAUGAGGGUAAUGAUAGAGCUUUCUGGACAUGAGUCCAGUUCUGUCUUGCCACCGUGAAUGCAAGCUCUAUUAAUCAACUUUCUUGGCUGGCCUCCACCCACAACUCCAGGGACUGAGCCACAGUGCCUAUUAGCUCCUAUAUGGGAAGCUCUGAAAAGCUGAGAAAACUUUCCUAACAAUUCUGCCAGGAGCCAACUGAAGCUUGGAACUCCAAGGAAUGCUAAAGCUAUAGCCCGAGGACCUCUGGGGCCAUAUCUCCCAGGAAGAUCUUGCCUCCUCACUGAAGCUCCUGACCUGGCCUCCUGCAGUGCCACACUCCGUGUAUUUGACAAGCUGAGUUGGACACUCCAUGUGGUAGAGUGUCAGUUUGUCAAAUACCCCAAGUGCGGCAUAUGCCUAACAGCUCCAAGCCAGGGCAGUUGGGAUACAACAAAUUGCCAGCUGAAUACAAGAUCACUCUCCAAACACAAACUAAACUUUCACAAGUUAUUUUCAGUGACUUGAGGGAACUGAAGCAUUGUAUCUGAGGGUGCCAGGGGAAAAGUGAGGCAACUCUUGAAGCCACAGAUCUGGAAUGUUUCUACACACAUUGUCAGAGCCCAAGCAGGACAUAAUGGUCUUGAAAAGGUAUAUGGAAUCCAGGGAUGGAAGUGCUCUUUGAUUUGUAUUUUUUUUCUUCACAUUCCUCUUACAGAGUCUCCUAGAAAGGACACCAGAAUUUUCACACAAGCUUCAUGAUAGGGCUUAGAAACCCACUUUCCUGACACUCAGCCUUGGCUUCUAGACACACUUUGACCUUAUCUUUCUCUUCUUCUUCAUGUCUUUUCUUCUUCUGGUAAUACUUUAUCUAUUUUUUUCUGCCUACUCAAUUAUUUCUCAUACUUCUGGCUCAGAAAAAUUCCAGUCUCUCCAAGGACUUUUGAAAGUCAACCUACACUUUUUUUCUUCUUCAUUUGAAGAACACACCUUGCCUUAGCCCUUGUAUGUACCCAUUUCUUCUAUUGUCCAAUGGCACCUCUUGAAUUAUUAAUAAACUUUUGCAGUGGAUAUUU